rnacentral:lncRNA from 1 species
GCUAGGUAAGAAACUCCCUAGUAAUGAUGAGAAGCUCCUUUGCUUAAAAUAUUUAAAUCAAAUGAAACUAGAAAGUUAGAUAUCAAGUUCUGUGCCAGAGUAAGCACAGAACUACUUGUUAAGGAGUCCAAUUUAAGUGCCCAACUUGUGGCAAGUUUUCACGUUUCCUUAAGUGAUGCUACUUUCAAAGAAAAAGGUUGGAAUCCGGGCAUCAUGGUACACACCUGGUACUUG